UUUUGUUUCCUACUUUUUAAAUUUGUGUUAAGAAAGGGAAAAAAAUCACAAGUUUGUCUAACUCAGUAGAAAAAUCGACAAAGCAUUUGCAGACAACUUGGCAAGGGUACAGAGAAACGGAUGUACUGUUUUUCAGUAUUUGGGGAGGGUGGUUUGAGCAGCAUUUAUUGACAAUUUCAUUAGUGGGGAUGUUUCUAUUGAAAACAGAGUUAGGAAGUCAUAAAAUGUUCCUGCAAUAUAAGGUAAUAAUACCACCAGCGUUUAUCUUACUGUUUUCAUGUUCUAAGUGCAUGCAUCUGAGUAAAAGGAUCUGGGCUGCAGUCCAGUCUGAGAGAUGCCAGCAAAGGCUUCCUAGGCCAGUUCAGUCCAGUAAAUCCCUCUUCGAUCUUCUCUUCCACACAGACAGCAGUGAUGAGCAUGCCCAUGAACUCACAUGAUUAUUUUGGGGAAAAUGAAAGAGUUGUAUUCUUUUUGAGGUAGUAAUUCCACUUUCAGGGGCAAAUACAUUUUGAUUAUUUUAUCACCCUUCAGUGAGUUGUUUUUGUUCUUUAAUCAAGGAUGUAUGUUUGAAGUAAGAAGUAAAGCAUAAAGUAUAUGAUUUUGUGUGUGUGUGUGUGUUUUUAUCUUGCUGUACCUGUAGGGAAUGUUUAAUUCAGCCUUGGAAGUGGCCAAAUUUGAAGGUGCUGUGAUUCGAACUGUCAGUGGGAUAAGGGGGCAGAUCAAGAAAGCACUCUGAGCUCCAGAAGGAGCUUUCCGGGCCAGCUUUGAGGAUAAGCUGCUGAUGAGCGAUAUUGUCUUCAUGCAAACUUGGUAUCCUGUUUCCAUCCCAGCCUUCUAUAACCCAGUAACAUCUUUGUUGAAACCAGUGGGUGAGAAAGACACCUGGUCAGGAACGCGGACCACGGGCCAACUCAGGCUUGCCCAUGGUGUCAGACUAAAGGCAAACAAGGACUCUCUGUAUAAGGUUCCCUCUCCCAGCCUGUGCUGACUCAGCCAUCUUCCCAUUCUGCAUCUUCUGGAGCAUCAGUCAGACUCACCUGCAUGCUGAGCAGUGGCUUCAGUGUUGGGGACUUCUGGAUAAGGUGGUACCAACAAAAGCCAGGGAACCCUCCCCGGUAUCUCCUGUACUACCACUCAGACUCCAAUAAGGGCCAAGGCUCUGGAGUUCCCAGCCGCUUCUCUGGAUCCAACGAUGCAUCAGCCAAUGCAGGGAUUCUGCGUAUCUCUGGGCUCCAGCCUGAGGAUGAGGCUGACUAUUACUGUGGUACAUGGCACAGCAACUCUAAGACUCACACAGUGCUCCAGACCCAUGAGGAAGUAAGACAAAACCCUCCCCUCUACUCUCCUGGUCUAGUGAAAUCACCCCUGCUGGUGGCUCUGACCAAAUCUAGCUCAGGGGGUGACAUCUGUUGUCUCAUCGACAGCACUGGAGCUCCCACGGAGAAGUAGGUCUAACAAAGUCCUACCUUGCUCGCAUUUCACAGGCAGACAUCCCUUGCUCAGGGGUAAAAUCUCUCAGUGUUGACAUUGAAGAAGGCAAGAGGGCUGGGUUGGGGUUCAUCUCAGCUCAGAGUCUAGAAGUGACUCAGAGAUGCUGCUGGUCUGAGAGUUUUAAUAUGAGCCUUGGGAUACAAUACAGGGAUGCAGAUGGGAAUUGUAUUCUCUUUGUCAGUAACGAACCAUCAGUAAUUGAAAAGUCA
rnacentral:lncRNA from 1 species